UGCAAGUCGAGGGGUAGGAGGCCUUCGGGCCUUGAGACCGGCGCACGGGUGCGUAACGCGUAUGCAAUCUGCCUUCCACAGAGGGAUAGCCCAGAGAAAUUUGGAUUAAUACCUCAUAGCAUCAUGACCCGGCAUCGGGAUAUGAUUAAAGUCACAACGGUGGAAGAUGAGCAUGCGUCCCAUUAGCUAGUUGGUAAGGUAACGGCUUACCAAGGCUACGAUGGGUAGGGGUCCUGAGAGGGAGAUCCCCCACACUGGUACUGAGACACGGACCAGACUCCUACGGGAGGCAGCAGUGAGGAAUAUUGGUCAAUGGGCGCAAGCCUGAACCAGCCAUGCCGCGUGCAGGAUGACGGUCCUAUGGAUUGUAAACUGCUUUUGUACGGGAAGAAACCCUCCUACGUGUAGGAGCUUGACGGUACCGUAAGAAUAAGGAUCGGCUAACUCCGUGCCAGCAGCCGCGGUAAUACGGAGGAUCCAAGCGUUAUCCGGAAUCAUUGGGUUUAAAGGGUCUGUAGGCGGUCUUGUAAGUCAGUGGUGAAAGCCCAUCGCUCAGCGGUGGAACGGCCAUUGAUACUGCUGGACUUGAAUUAUUGGGAAGCAACUAGAAUAUGUAGUGUAGCGGUGAAAUGCUUAGAGAUUACAUGGAAUACCAAUUGCGAAGGCAGGUUGCUACCAAUGGAUUGACGCUGAUGGACGAAAGCGUGGGUAGCGAACAGGAUUAGAUACCCUGGUAGUCCACGCCGUAAACGAUGGAUACUAGCUGUUGGGCGCAAGUUCAGUGGCUAAGCGAAAGUGAUAAGUAUCCCACCUGGGGAGUACGAACGCAAGUUUGAAACUCAAAGGAAUUGACGGGGGCCCGCACAAGCGGUGGA
rnacentral:rRNA from 1 species